GUGAAUAACCGAUGGAGAAUUAGGAGAGAGUUGAUGGCCGGCCAUGGGGGUUUUCGGUUGUGAUUGGAAAAAGAGAGGAAGGAGGAAGAAAGUGGUGGGUUUGGGUUUUGGAUUUUUGGUUUUGACCCAUAAACCUGGAUCCAUUAAGCACAAAUCCAUUAGCCUUUUUGAUAAUUGACUAAACCAAACCAAAUUGAGUUGGUUUAAUAUGGUUUAGGA
rnacentral:lncRNA from 1 species